rnacentral:rRNA from 1 species
AGAAGGGUAGCAAUACCUGAGUACAGUGGCGCACGGGUGAGUAACACGUGACUAACCUACCCUCGAGUGUGGAAUAACAUCGGGAAACCGAUGCUAAUACCGCAUAAUAUCGCAAGAUCAAAGCAGCAAUGCGCUGGAAGAGGAGUCCGCGGCCGAUUAGCUAGUUGGCGGGGUAAAAGCCCACCAAGGCGAAGAUCGGUAGCCGGCCUGAGAGGGCACACGGCCACACUGGCACUGAAACACGGGCCAGACUCCUACGGGAGGCAGCAGUGGGGAAUCUUGCACAAUGGAGGAAACUCUGAUGCAGCGACGCCGCGUGAGCGAUGAAGCCCUUCGGGGUGUAAAGCUCUUUCGACGGGAACGAUAAUGACGGUACCCGAAGAAGAAGCUGCGGCUAACUACGUGCCAGCAGCCGCGGUAAUACGUAGGCAGCAAGCGUUGUUCGGAAUUACUGGGCGUAAAGAGUACGUAGGCGGUGCUCUAAGUCUGUCGUGAAAUCUCCCGGCUUAACUGGGAGGGUGCGGCGGAAACUGGAGUGCUCGAGUAUGGGAGAGGUAAGCGGAAUUCCUGGUGUAGCGGUGAAAUGCGUAGAUAUCAGGAGGAACACCUGUGGUGUAGACAGCUUACUGGACCAUGACUGACGCUGAGGUACGAAAGCGUGGGUAGCAAACAGGAUUAGAUACCCUGGU